UGGGUGACCUGCCCCCUACUCUGGGAUAAGCCUGGGAAACUGGGUCUAAUACCGGAUAUGACUACAUGUCGCAUGGUGUGUGGUGGAGAGUUUUUUCGGGUGGGGGAUGGGCCCGCGGCCUAUCAGCUUGUUGGUGGGGUGAUGGCCUACCAAGGCGACGACGGGUAGCCGGCCUGAGAGGGCGACCGGCCACACUGGGACUGAGACACGGCCCAGACUCCGUACGGGAG
rnacentral:rRNA from 1 species